UACAGAGGGGGCAAGCGUUAUUCGGAAUUAUUGGGCGUAAAGGGCGCGUAGGCGGUUUUGUAAGUAGGAUGUGUAAUCCCCGAGCUCAACUUGGGAACUGCAUCCUAGACUGCAAGGCUAGAGUGCUGGAGAGGGUGGUAGAAUUCCACGUGUAGCGGUGAAAUGCGUAGAGAUGUGGAGGAAUACCAGUGGCGAAGGCGGCCACCUGGACAGCAACUGACGCUGAGGCGCGAAAGUGUGGGGAGCAAACAGGAUUAGAUACCCUGGUAGUCCACGCUGUAAACGAUGAACACUUGGUGUGUCGGGAGUUGACCCCCGACGUGCCGGAGCUAACGCGUUAAGUGUUCCGCCUGGGGAGUACGGUCGCAAGGCUGAA
rnacentral:rRNA from 1 species